rnacentral:tRNA from 1 species
GCGGAUGUGGUGGAAUUGGCAGACACGCUGGAUUUAGGUUCCAGUGCGAUGAGCAUGCAGGUUCAAGUCCUGUCAUCCGCACCA